AGAGUUUGAUCAUGGCUCAGGACUAUCGCUGGCGGCGUUUCUUAGACAUGCAAGCCGAACGGACGUGCAGAUUGACGCCGAUGGACUUCGCAGUUUUCUGCGGAUAAAUUGGUGGGUAUCUGUAUGUUAGUGGCAAAUGGGUGAGUAACACGUGAGUAAUCUACCAUUGAGAAGAGAACAACCUGUUGAAAAGCGGGCUAAUACUCUAUGAUGUCUCAACCUGAGAUUGUUGAGAUUAAAGGGUGGCCUCUGCUUGCAAGCUAUCGCUCAAUGAUGAGCUCGCGUCCUAUCAGCCAGUUGGUGAGGUAAUGGUUCACCAAAGCGAAGACGGGUAGCCGGCCUGAGAGGGCGAUCGGCCACACUGGAACUGAGAAACGGUCCAGACUCCUACGGGAGGCAGCAGUCUAGAAAAUUGCGCAAUGGGUGAAAGCCUGACGCAGUGACGCCGCGUGGAGGAUGAAGGCCUUCGGGUUGUAAACUCCUGUCAGAAAAGACGAAGGUUCUGAAUAUGAAUAAUAUUCAGGAUUGACGGUAUUUUCAGAGGAAGCUCCGGCUAACUCCGUGCCAGCAGCCGCGGUAAAACGGAGGGAGCGAGCGUUGUCCGGAAUUACUGGGCGUAAAGGGGAUGUAGGUGUCCUGAUAUGUUGAAUGUGAAAUCCCUCUGCUCAACAGAGGAACGGCAUCCAAAACUAUCGGGAUUGAGCGCGGGAGAGGAAAGUGGAACUCUCGGUGGAGCGGUGGAAUGCGUAGAUAUCGAGAGGAAUGCCAGUAGCGAAGGCGUCUUUCUGGUCCGUUGCUGACACUGAGGUCCGAAAGCUGGGGGAGCAAACAGGAUUAGAUACCCUGGUAGUCCCAGCUGUAAACGAUGGACACUAGGUGUUCCAAUUUUAUGGAGUGCCGAAGCUAACGCAUUAAGUGUCCCGCCUGGGGAGUACGUCCGCAAGGAUGAAACUCAAUGGAAUUGACG
rnacentral:rRNA from 1 species